rnacentral:lncRNA from 1 species
UGAAAUCAAUAGAAAUAUAAGCUCUAAAGUCUUAUUAUAGCCCCUAACAACGAAAGCAACUAAAGGUGGGUGUCACUCAUCACGAUCCCCGCUACCCCUGAUUACCUGCGGAAAGAAAGCAAACGAGAGUGAGCCAAUGCCCAGUACGAAUAUAAAAAUAGUGUAGGUGCAAAGAGUAUCAAUAAUCUCGAAACAAUGAUUACAAUAAAUUGGUACAAAUAAGUACCUCAAGUCACAAUAAUCGAGAUAAACAAUGAACUAUAAAUAAGACUCAAUGAUGAAUAAAUGACACAAUACGGGUCUCUUACACAAAACUGUACUUGCUCAACUCCAAUCACCGAGCAAAUACAGAACAAUGAUUUCUUCUUCGGUUAUCCACAAGAAGAAAUAAAGAAUGUAUAAAACAUUCCACAAAACAAUAACGAUCAUGAUCUUCUCACGUCUCAUACCCCAGAAACGUGCUCGUAUGCUUAAAUCACCGAUACGAGUUGGUGUCUAGUUCACCUUUACUACGAACUCCAUGUGAACAUUGUCCGUGAUUUACCCACACGGAUAAGUUUAAGAGCCCAAACAAUUACAAAAGUUGCCGACUCAAUGAACAAAAUAUAUACAGUGGUACAAUCAUAAAACGAAAGGAAACAAUAGGAGUCAAGGCAACAAUAAUUCAAAUAUAUGAAAGCCAAGUGAAAAGAGUGAUGUGCAAUAACAAAAGAGAUUUUAAGAAUGUCAAAAUAAUAAAUAUAAUAAAUAUUUAUUAUUUAAGUAAAAGAGAGAAAAGAAUAGAAUCCGUACCUGAUAUGAAUACUAAACUAUCUCUGAAGUAUCCACAACCAGAUUUGCCUCCUACUUAUUAAAAUCUAAAAAAAAUCAGAUUUAUUAACAUUAACCAGUGAAGAGAACUCAACCUAUUUUAUACUAAUAAUAUAAUAAUAACACUAACAAGACUAUAUGUAUCAAUUCGGCACAUACCGGAUAUCAUUAUCACAACCUUAAAAUAUAUACGCUACUGAAAGUUAAAUAGCUAGCUCAACGUGCGACUAUCACGCUGCUACACAACACAGUGGUUUGCUCUUAAUAGUAAUCAAAGACAUAUAUUCAAGAUAAAUAACUAAUAACUUGAUAAUCGAGGAAAUCAUGUAAAUAUAUGCUUUAGUAAUAAAGCAGACUUAUAUAUUAAAUAAAUAUUAUUAACUAAUAUGCUACACAUAUCAAUAAAAUUAUUUAGCAAAAAUUCACUUAACAAAUUUAAAAGGCAUGAGAUCUGAUAUAUAAAUAAAUAUUAUACAUCUCACAUUUAAUUCAAUGAUAAUAAUAAUAAUAAUAACAAACUAAUUACUAUUAUUUCCAAAAUUAUAAAAAUACACUGAGAUUUUAUAUAAAAUAAGUAACACGUAUAUAUAAUAAUCACACACUUAUAAAAUCAGACCAAAGCAAAAUUCGUUACUUUAAAUAGCAUUUUAAAUAAAUUAAAUAAACAAUAAAUCAAGUAGUUAGACCGAACGUUUUAGUAGCACUUGAAGAAAAUAGGCUACUGACUUGCUAAAAUACAUGGUAUAAUUAACUGGUAAAACUUAUAGUCUAUAAUAUGCGAAUAUAAUCACCACAUUAUAAUAACAUAUUUCAGAAAUAAAAUAAAUAUAAACUAUUCAAGUUCUUUGCGAAACCCGGAAAAUAAAUUUAACUAUAAUGACAAUGAUAAUUUAAUGAAUUUAAAAUAAUACCGUGCCACAAUAAUGUACAUAAAGUAAAGCAGUCAUUAAAAUUAAUUUAAUUCGAUAACAGAAGGUAUAUAAUAUGUUGCUACAAAAUAAAUUUGUAAUUACACUAACUUUUAAAAUAUGCACGUAUAUAUACAAGAUUAAAAAUACAAGCGAGCACAUAAGUUAUUAUCCACACAUGUACAUACUGUGGUCAAUUCUGGAAAAAUAUAGAUUCUCAUGAGUCGUAAAAUAAAUCAGAAGUUUAACAAAUAUCAUGCUUGCAUAUCACAGAAUCAUUAUAUUAAAUAAAAUAAAAUCAUGUUAUAUCAAAUUAAGGCUACACGAUAGUUUGCUUACCUCAGCCAAGACUCAAGAGUCUAAAAAAGUAUGGCCGCACGAAUUACUAUAAACCUGAGAUUUAAAAAUAAUAAAUAAAUAAAAUUAGUAUAACAUAUAAUAUUUAC